rnacentral:rRNA from 1 species
UACGUAGGGGGCAAGCGUUGUUCGGAUUUAUUGGGCGUAAAGAGCGUGUAGGCGGCCAGACAGGUCUGCUGUGAAAACUCGAGGCUCAACCUCGAGACGCCGGUGGAAACCGUUUGGCUAGAGUCCGGAAGAGGAGAGUGGAAUUCCUGGUGUAGCGGUGAAAUGCGCAGAUAUCAGGAAGAACACCCGUGGCUGAGGCGGCUCUCUAGUACGGUACUGACGCUGAGACGCGAAAGCGUGGGGAGCGAACAGG